GACGAACCGUGCGAACGUUAUUCGGAAUCACUGGGCUUAAAGCGCGUGUAGGCGGGACGGCACGUCGGUCGCUGAAAGCCCCCGGCUCAACCGGGGAAGUGGCACCGAUACGACCGCCCUGGAGGGACGUAGGGGGACCUGGAACAUCCGGUGGAGCGGUGAAAUGCGUUGAGAUCGGAUGGAACGCCCGUGGCGAAAGCGAGGUCCUGGACGUUUUCUGACGCUGAGACGCGAAAGCCAGGGGAGCGAACGGG
rnacentral:rRNA from 1 species